UUCUCUUCAUCAAACCCUAAGGUUGCUUUCUUUGCCUGCUUGGCUGAGAUUAGCAUCCAUCCUCUGCCCACUUUCCCAGAUGGAAAAGUGGCAUCAUCGGGAGCUUGGCACUCGGCAGGAUAGGACACAGCUGGAGUACCCCACAAAGUACUCCACGUAAGGGUAGGUAGAAAAUUGUGUCUCUUUUCUUGAUUAAAAAGCUGUGUGACUCAGCAGUCAAAAAUAAAGCCCUUUUCUUUUCCUGCUUUGUAAAAGGAACAGAGAAAUAUGGAAGAGGAUGGAGCAAAUUGAAGAGAGUAAAUGGGCAAGAGUUGAAGAAAGGUGGGGAGAUGCAGGAAAUAGACAAAGGUGCCUAUGUACUUAGGAGCUGCCUGAAGCA
rnacentral:lncRNA from 1 species